ensembl:misc_RNA Metazoa_SRP Metazoan signal recognition particle RNA
GCUGGGUGUGGUGGCUCACACCUGUAAUCCCAGUGCUCUGGGAGGCCAAGUCGGGAGGAUUGCUUGAGCCCAGGAGUUUCAGGUUACAGUGAGCUCUGAUCAUGCCACUGCACUUCAGCCUGGGCAACAGAGCAGGAACUCGUAUUAU